AACGAACGCUGGCGGCAUGCCUAACACAUGCAAGUCGAACGAGACCUUCGGGUCUAGUGGCGCACGGGUGCGUAACGCGUGGGAACCUGCCCUUAGGUUCGGAAUAACUCCCCGAAAGGGGUGCUAAUACCGGAUAAUGUCUUCGGACCAAAGAUUUAUCGCCUUUGGAUGGGCCCGCGUUGGAUUAGCUAGUUGGUAGGGUAAAAGCCUACCAAGGCGACGAUCCAUAGCUGGUCUGGGAGGAUGAUCAGCCACACUGGGACUGAGGCACGGCCCAGACUCCUACGGGAGGCAGCAGUGGGGAAUAUUGGACAAUGGGCGAAAGCCUGAUCCAGCAAUGCCGCGUGAGUGAUGAAGGCCUUAGGGUUGUAAAGCUCUUUUACCCGGGAUGAUAAUGACAGUACCGGGAGAAUAAGCUCCGGCUAACUCCGUG
rnacentral:rRNA from 1 species